AGAGCGAACGCUGGCGGCAGGCCUAACACAUGCAAGUCGAACGGACCCUUCGGGGUUAGUGGCGGACGGGUGAGUAACACGUGGGAACGUGCCUUUAGGUUCGGAAUAGCUCCUGGAAACGGGUGGUAAUGCCGAAUGUGCCCUUCGGGGGAAAGAUUUAUCGCCUUUAGAGCGGCCCGCGUCUGAUUAGCUUGUUGGUGAGGUAAUGGCUCACCAAGGCUACGAUCAGUAGCUGGUCUGAGAGGAUGACCAGCCACAUUGGGACUGAGACACGGCCCAAACUCCUACGGGAGGCAGCAGUGGGGAAUCUUGCGCAAGUGGGCGAAAGCCUGACGCAGCCAUGCCGCGUGUAUGAUGAAGGUCUAGGAUUGUAAAUACUUUCACCGGUGAAGAUAAUGACUGUAGACCGGAAGAAGAACGCCCCGGACUAACCUUCGCGCCAGCCAAGCCGAC
rnacentral:rRNA from 1 species